GUUUGAUCCUGGCUCAGGAUGAACGCUAGCUACAGGCUUAACACAUGCAAGUCGAGGGGCAGCAUGACCUAGCAAUAGGUUGAUGGCGACCGGCGCACGGGUGAGUAACACGUAUCCAACCUGCCGAUUAUUCCGGGAUAGCCUUUCGAAAGAAAGAUUAAUACUGGAUAGCAUAACGAGAAGGCAUCUUCUUGUUAUUAAAGAAUUUCGAUAAUCGAUGGGGAUGCGUUCCAUUAGUUUGUUGGCGGGGUAACGGCCCACCAAGACAUCGAUGGAUAGGGGUUCUGAGAGGAAGGUCCCCCACAUUGGAACUGAGACACGGUCCAAACUCCUACGGGAGGCAGCAGUGAGGAAUAUUGGUCAAUGGACGAGAGUCUGAACCAGCCAAGUAGCGUGAAGGAUGACUGCCCUAUGGGUUUAAACUUCUUUUAUAUGGGAAUAAAGUGAGCCACGUGUGGCUUUUUGUAUGUACCAUACGAAUAAGGAUCGGCUAACUCCGUGCCAGCAGCCGCGGUAAUACGGAGGAUCCGAGCGUUAUCCGGAUUUAUUGGGUUUAAAGGGAGCGUAGGCGGAUUAUUAAGUCAGUUGUGAAAGUUUGCGGCUCAACCGUAAAAUUGCAGUUGAUACUGGUAGUCUUGAGCGCAGCAGAGGUAGGCGGAAUUCGUGGUGUAGCGGUGAAAUGCUUAGAUAUCACGAAGAACUCCGAUUGCGAAGGCAGCUUACUGGACUGUAACUGACGCUGAUGCUCGAAAGUGUGGGUAUCAAACAGGAUUAGAUACCCUGGUAGUCCACACAGUAAACGAUGAAUACUCGCUGUUUGCGAUAUACAGCAAGCGGCCAAGCGAAAGCAUUAAGUAUUCCACCUGGGGAGUACGCCGGCAACGGUGAAACUCAAAGGAAUUGACGGGGGCCCGCACAAGCGGAGGAACAUGUGGUUUAAUUCGAUGAUACGCGAGGAACCUUACCCGGGCUUAAAUUGCAACUGACGGAUUUGGAAACAGAUCUUCCUUCGGGCAGUUGUGAAGGUGCUGCAUGGUUGUCGUCAGCUCGUGCCGUGAGGUGUCGGCUUAAGUGCCAUAACGAGCGCAACCCUUAUCUUUAGUUACUAACAGGUCAUGCUGAGGACUCUAGAGAGACUGCCGUCGUAAGAUGUGAGGAAGGUGGGGAUGACGUCAAAUCAGCACGGCCCUUACGUCCGGGGCUACACACGUGUUACAAUGGGGGGUACAGAAGGCAGCUACACAGCGAUGUGAUGCUAAUCCCAAAAGCCUCUCUCAGUUCGGAUUGGAGUCUGCAACCCGACUCCAUGAAGCUGGAUUCGCUAGUAAUCGCGCAUCAGCCACGGCGCGGUGAAUACGUUCCCGGGCCUUGUACACACCGCCCGUCAAGCCAUGAAAGCCGGGGGUACCUGAAGUACGUAACCGCAGGAGCGUCCUAGGGUAAAACUGGUAAUUGGGGCUAAGUCGUAACAAGGUAGCCGUACCGGAAGGUGCGGCUGGAACACCUCCUUUCU
rnacentral:rRNA from 1 species